AACAUAAUCAGAAUUAUUUUUCAAAAGAGGAGAGAAGAAAAAUGCGAAAGACGAGGGAAUCCACAGAGUUCAAUCGUGAAGGACGACGUCGAUCGAUCGUUUGAAUGCUUCAAGUGCGGCGUUUCUCCUCCUUAAUCUUCUGUGAGAGGAAAAAAGAAAGAAAAUGUAAAUUGAAGCCUGAGAGUUCAGCAAGCUUUGAGACUCCAGUUUCUGAUUCAGUUAAAGAAAUACAAGACAACGCAACGAACGGCCAAGAUUUCAUGGAAAAAGUACAAAAGCAUGGAUUCAAAAUUUCGCCACCAUUAAAUUGAUUCAAGAGGUUGCUCCGCGUCAUCUUUACUUUGAUAUCAGUUGAUUCCUAGAUAUCAGUUGUUCUAGAAGCCUCAAAUUGAAAGUAUUCGAUUCAAGGAAGCUUUGACUGGACACUAGAGCUUGAUUCCUCAAACAAGUGUGAGGAAGACAUGUUCGUGGCAUCCUUGGUCUGCAACGUCGAUGCUGAGUGUGAGAAACUUCUGGUUUGCGAAACGGAAUUACACUGCGUAAAGACAUUGCAAUUUGAUAUGGAGGAGAUAUGUAAUUUUGGACGGUUUGUUGAAUCAGCUGCCUCAACCGGAAAUGUAUCAGUGAUGUAUGUUGUCGACCUUACGACGGCUGUCUAUUACCAAAAGUGUCACGAUCCAGAUUGUGGAGGUUACCGAUCUCCACUGCGUCCAAGUCCAAUUGAUGCCAUUCCUAAUCCUCGGGUCUCCACGGAUUCAGAACAGAUAUCAAAUGGCAUAGAGUCGUCCAACUGAUGCCAUCUUCGUGCAUGCGUUUCCAACUCGAGAGCCGCUACGUUUCGGAUGCAAGGUAAGCAAAAAUCCCUGAACGCCUAAUUAUUUUCUGAACUCUUUGAUAUUGUCCAUAGUUAAUUGAGCUUAAGAGUCAAAUUGUUCUGCUCCCCUCUCUAAGCUCCACACCAUUAGAGGAUCGGUUUUAUUAACACAAAUAGGAUAAAUUUCUAUCUCGAUCGCUAUUAGCCAUGGUUCGAAACAUGAAAUUAAAUAGUAAUUUUACAAAAGCUUGACAUAAAUCUGUUACAUUCAAAAGCGUCGCUAUAGUAAAUUAGCCCCCCACCUUUUGAAAAUGAAAACUCAAGAUAUUACUAAAUGUUAAAACUACCAGUUUUUCUUCCAAUUUCAUUCUCUUAUUAAGCUGGUAAAAUUGUGGUACAGCGGAAGGUUUUUAGCCUUGGUUGAUAUACACAAAUGAAGAAUAGGAAAAGGGAGGAAGAAGGAGGGGGUUACUGCCACCGUGAGUGUGGUGAGUAGAAAGAGAGAGUGAGUUAGUGAAA